CACGUAGGGCGCAAGCGUUGUCCGGAAUUAUUGGGCGUAAAGAGCUCGUAGGCGGUCUGUUGCGUCUGCUGUGAAAACUCGGGGCUUAACCCCGAGCCUGCAGUAGAUACGGGCAGACUAGAGGUAGGUAGGGGAGAAUGGAAUUCCCGAUGUAGCGGUGAAAUGCGCAGAUAUCGGGAGGAACACCGGUGGCGAAGGCGGUUCUCUGGGCCUUACCUGACGCUGAGGAGCGAAAGCGUGGGGAGCGAACAGG
rnacentral:rRNA from 1 species